ensembl:lncRNA novel transcript
GGCGUCCCGCGUCCUCCGCGGCUCAGGACGACUACGCUCGGCACGUCCGGGACCCUCCGGCCGUGGCGGUUGCAGCGCCAAAAGCUCGGGCCUCAGCCCCUGACGCUGUGGUGACUCCGCCGCGCCUCGCCGUCGCCCCUGUCCCCGUCCUGCCCGCCGCCUCCGCCGCUGGGGACAUGUCCAACCCCGGAAGCCGGAGGAACGGGCCCGUCAAGCUGCACCUGACAGGUAUAUUGAAAAGUCUGAUUCAGUUACAAUCAGUGUAUGGAAUCACAAGAAGAUCCAUAAGAAACAAGGUGCUGGAUUUCUCCGUUGUGUUCAUCUUUUUCCAGUGCCAUCAACCACCUCAAAGACACUGGUUAUCAGAGGUUGGAUUUAUGCAAACCUGGGCCAAAGGACAGUUAGAAGACGUGCUGAUGGGCCCGUGCAACAGUUGCUGGUAAAUGGCUGAUUAAAAAGCACAGAAAGCCGAACAAGACCCAACCAAAUUUGCCUCUCCUCUCAGGCUGGAGCGCAGUGGCACGAUUCCAACUCAUGGCAACCUCCACCUCCUGGGUCAAGUGAUUCUCCUGCUUCAGCCUCCUGAGUAGCUGGGAUUACGGGCACCUGCCACCACACCCAGCUAAUUUCUGUAUUUUUACAAAAAUUUGGACUCUGCUUAGAUUGGCUUAGUUUUCUCUUUAGUCAAAUCUUCAGGAACCAAUUUAUUACCAUUAAAAAUGAUCUAACAAGCUUUAUUUUUAUUAUUGUUAAAAAUCCUCAUUUUGAGGAACACAACCACAAAGUAAAGAAUGUUUUCAUUGAUUUAACCAGUAAAAAUCAAUAUUUAAUUAUAAAAUUUUUUUUUUCUUCAGCUAAAA